rnacentral:rRNA from 1 species
CCUACGGGCGGCAGCAGUGGGGAAUAUUGCACAAUGGGGGAAACCCUGAUGCAGCCAUGCCGCGUGUGUGAAGAAGGCCUUCGGGUUGUAAAGCACUUUCAGUAGGGAGGAAGGUAGUGUAGUUAACACCUGCAUUAUUUGACGUUACCUACAGAAGAAGCACCGGCUAACUCCGUGCCAGCAGCCGCGGUAAUACGGAGGGUGCGAGCGUUAAUCGGAAUUACUGGGCGUAAAGCGCAUGCAGGCGGCCUGUUAAGUCAGAUGUGAAAGCCCGGGGCUUAACCUCGGAAUUGCAUUUGAAACUGGCAGGCUAGAGUCUUGUAGAGGGGGGUAGAAUUUCAGGUGUAGCGGUGAAAUGCGUAGAGAUCUGAAGGAAUACCAGUGGCGAAGGCGGCCCCCUGGACAAAGACUGACGCUCAGAUGCGAAAGCGUGGGGAGCAAACAGGAUUAGAUACCCGGGUAGUC